rnacentral:rRNA from 1 species
CCUACGGUAGGCAGCAGUAGGGAAUAUUGCUCAAUGGGGGCAACCCUGAAGCAGCAACGCCGCGUGGAGGAUGAAGGUUUUCGGAUGGUAAACUCCUUUUGUUAGAGAAGAUAAUGACGGUAUCUACCGCAUAAGCACCGGCUAACUCCGAUCCAGCAGCCGCGGUAAUACGGAGGGUGCCAGCGUUACUCGGAAGCACUGGGCGGAAAGAGCGCGUAGGCGGGAUAGCAAGUCAGUUGUGAAAUCCUAUGGCUUAACCAUAGAACUGCAUUUGAAACUGUUAUUCUAGAGUAUGGGAGAGGUAGGUGGAAUUCUUGGGGUAGGGGUAAAAUCCGUAGAGAUCAAGAGGAAUACUCAUUGCGAAGGCGACCUGCUAGAACAUAACUGACGCUGAUGCGCGAAAGCGUGGGGAGCAAACAGGAUUAGAUACCCUGGUAGUC